UAUCAUAUCACACACACACAUAUCACAUACACACACACAUCACACACAUACACACACAAACACACACACAUCACAUACAUCACACGCACAUCACACACACAUAUAUCACACACACAUCACACACACGCACACAUACACACACAAAUACAUCACUAAAAUCACGCACACGUCACACACACAACACACACCCACAUCACACAUACAUCACCCACACAUCACACAUACACAUCACACACCUGACACUCGCAUCUCACAGACACACAAACAUCACACACACAGAGACACACACAUACACAUCACACACACAGAGACACACACAUACAAAUCACACACACAAA
rnacentral:lncRNA from 1 species